GAUGAACGCUGGCGGCGUGCCUAAUACAUGCAAGUCGAGCGAAGCGGGGACGGGUGAGUAACACGUGGCUAACCUCCUAUAAGACUGGGAUAACUUCGGGAAACCGGAGCUAAACCGGAUCCUUAUAGAUGGAUCUGGGCUGCAUUAGCUAGUUGGUAAGGUAACGGCGUACCAAGGCAACGAUGCAUAGCCGACCUGAGAGGGUGAUCAGCCACACUGGAACUGAGACACGGUCCAGACUCCUACGGGAGGCAGCAGUAGGGAAUAUUGCGCAAUGGGCGAAAGCCUGACCGAGCAACGCCGCGUGAGUGAAGAAGGUCUUCGGAUCGUAAAGCACUUUUAUUAGGGAAGCGGUACCUAAUCAGAAAGCCCCGGCUAACUACGUGCCAGCCGCCGCGGUAAUAC
rnacentral:rRNA from 1 species